UCCUGUUGAAUGCAUUGAUUGGAUGAAUGUAGACUAUGUGCCGUCCCACCUACUCUCCCAUCACUUUUGUUUUGUUUUGAAUUUUGUUUCAUCUUUUCUCUUUUUGCUUCUCCUUGAUCACCACCUUGUGCUGCCCCUUUUGGUUGCUUCUCCUUGCCAUUUUCUUUACUUUACCUUCUUUUGUUUCCUUGAUCACCACCACUUCACCACCAUAGCACCACUACACCACCACCCUAGCACCACCGUAUCACCACCUUAAAAAAAGUUGUUUUCUUUUAUAAAUUUUCUCCUCUCUUCUUUUGAUUAUCA
rnacentral:lncRNA from 1 species